GUACAAGUUAUAAGUAAAUUUUUGUCCAUUUUUGUACAAAUUGUAAUUUGUACAAGCACUUUUUGUACAAAUUACAAUUUGUACAAAGUCAAAAUACAAAUUACAAUUUGUACAAAGUCAAAAUACAAAUUAUAAUUCGUACAAUAUUUUUGUACAAAUUAUAAUUUGUACAAAAUGAUAACUUGUACACAACAUAUACAGCACGAUGGUCAUUUCACAUGCAAGUACUAGAAACUCGAACUUAAGAUAUAACACAAAGACAAUAAUGAUCAGUUGUAUUUCAAUUUGAUUCUUCUUUUUUUUAAAUCAAGUAGCAUUAAUGUAGAGAUGUUUAGAACAAAUUAUAUAUCACCAAAUAGUCCUUUUUCAUACAAAAUAAAUAGUCAGUUUGAUUUUUUUUUCACAUAAAUAUUUAGUUUUUCUUUUUAAUUUGUAUUCUCUCGCAAUUGAACUAUACAAUAAAUCAAAACACAUGAAAUAAUUUGCAGCAGAAACACUCUAAAUUUUCUUAGAUUAAUAUGUUUAUUGUAAAAAAAUGUUAAAUGCAUUUGAUUCAAAUAAUUUGACAUUGCAUCUCUGCAUUGUAACAAUAAUAACUUCCAUGACUUUGAUUAGUAUGCAAUAUGUUUAUUUCAAAAGAUUUGAACAAAACAUAAAAAUUUGAUCAUCAAUACCAUUUCUCUAAAAGAUAUAUUUUUUAUAAAAUCAUAUCGUCGUGCUAUUGAAUGUUUCAGAUAAAUGAUAAGUUCAUUUAGAUUAUAUAUUUUUUUUAUUUUUGGGUGUUUUGUUUUUCUUCUUCAUCUGUUUUUAAAUUUAUAAAUAUAUAUUCAUAUGUGUGUUUGAGUGUUUGUGUGCAAUUUCUGUGGAUAUGUGUUACCAAUAUGACGUAUUGUCAGAACUUUUAUAUAGCCUUUUCAUUUAUGUUUCAUAUUAUUAAGUGUUGUUAUCAUUUAUACACGCUUAAAGAACUACAAAUAUGAGUAACGAUAUUGAUAUUUGAAGUGGUGAAAUAUUUGCAUCUUUUUUUUAAAGAUAUAAUGUCAUCCUUUAAGUAAUCACUUAUUUAAUCAAAACACCACUUAAAAAUGUGAAGAUAAAACACACGUCUAGUGUACUUAAUCAUAAGCCUUAUGUCUUUAAUGGUAGUUCUUUUUAGUCGCUGCAAACAACUUUACAAUUGCUCUGAUUUAAUAUAUUUCGUUAUAGUUUUAGUGUUCUAUGUAAUUAACAACUUAUGUACUGAUAAACAUUAAUCAAAAUUUGUCCAUUAUAGUGUUGAUGUAAACUUUUUAACAGACUGAUGAAUAAAUUAAUUAUGAACCGCCGUCUUCGUCAGAAAGGUCGAUGACGUUUUUUGAGUCGUAACAAAAUAGUUUUACAACUGAAUACUGCAGUACUUAAUGAUAUACUUAGGUCAAGUUUAGCAAUUUUUGUCAGAUAUUCGGACUAAUUUGAUUUUCUGCCAUGAAACAGGAUUAAAUAUUUACCUCAUAAAACCCAUUUUUCCUUGUGUACAAGACAUUUAUAGCUCAUAAAAGUUCAUUUACUAAGACUUCAGCAGAUUAAGAUUUAUUUAUUUCGAUUUGAGACCCGAAUAAUACUAAUGCAAAUAUAAGGUUACAGUCCGAGUCAGUCUUUUCCCACCAUUUGAAAAAAAAUCUCGAAAAGGAGCUCUUUAAACUAAUAAUAUAUUUAGCUUAACUUAUUUCUUAUGCCCUCCUGACUUAUAGUAUCAAUUCUAAAUUCUACAUAUUUUUCAAUUUCACCUCAGUUCAUUCUUUAAUUAUACUGAAACAAGAAAUAAAAAUUUCGAUUUUUGUUUUCCUUUUAACCAUAUAAUAGUACAAAAACCUCUGCAUUCUUAAAUGAUA
rnacentral:lncRNA from 1 species